rnacentral:rRNA from 1 species
AUCUUGCGCAAUGGGCGAAAGCCUGACGCAGCAACGCCGCGUGGGGGAUGAAGGCUCUCGGGUUGUAAACCCCUUUCAGCAGGGACGAAAUUGACGGUACCUGCAGAAGAAGCCCCGGCCAACUACGUGCCAGCAGCCGCGGUAACACGUAGGGGGCGAGCGUUGUCCGGAUUUAUUGGGCGUAAAGAGCUCGUAGGCGGCUCGGUAAGUCGGGUGUGAAAACUCAGGGCUCAACCCUGAGACGCCACCUGAUACUGCUGUGGCUAGAGUCCGGUAGGGGAGCGUGGAAUUCCUGGUGUAGCGGUGAAAUGCGCAGAUAUCAGGAGGAACACCAGCGGCGAAGGCGGCGCUCUGGGCCGGAACUGACGCUGAGGAGCGAAAGCGUGGGGAGCAAACAGGA